ACUGGCAUUUGCCUUUUCUGUCAGCUGUGAGCGGACUGCGGGAGGCUAUUGCUACACGUAGGGGCGUUGUGUGUGUGUGUGUGUGUGUGUGUUUUGGACAGAGCAUUGGGGAAGGCUGGUAUGGUGUGAAAGAAAACCCAUUGUCCGAAGGCUAAUUCAAGGGCACAGUCAUGGAGGAAAUGGACUUUGAGCGGCGCCGCGAGCUGAGAAGGCAGAAGCGGGAGGAGAUGCGCCUUGAGGCCGAACGGUUGGCGAGGAAUGACGAUGACGAGGAGGAAGCGGCCCGCGAGAGGAGGCGCAGGGCACGCCAGGACAGGAUGAAGGGCAGGGAGAGUGAGGAGCCCAGCGGACAAUCAGACAGUCUGGUCGUGACCAACAGCCACAGUGUGACAGAGGCCGUGUCAGUGAGCAGCUCUUACACAGGGGGCGGCGGCGGCGAUGACGAGGAGCAGGCCCUGCUGGACCGCAUGGCCAAACGUGAGGAGCGCCGGCUGAGGCGCAUGAAGGAGGCUCUGGAUAGACAAAAGGAGCUGGACCCAACAGCUGCAGAUGUAAACGACAGCAUCGCCGUGGAGAAAAACAACGUAGAGGAGGAGACUGCAUCCUCCUGGCGCCAGGGCCGUUACCGUGACAAUCAGGAUGAAGAGGAGGCGAGCCCUAGGAGAGAGGAGAAGAAGCGGGAGGAGCCGAGGGAGGAAGAGGAUGCCGCUCCUGAGGUUGAAGAGGAAGUCGAUGAGGGCGUGGAUGAAGAGGUGGAGGUGGUGGAGGACAAACCGAGAAUGUCUUACUUAAGAGAACACGAAACAACCGAAGGACCUAAAAUGCAAAGCAAGGAACUUGCUGAAGAAGAAACUCAUUCAGUAGUCAGGGAGAUUUCAAACCAAGCCAAGUCAACCAAUUCAGAGGAUGAGGAGGAUGCAUUAGCAUCAGAGGAGGCUGAGGAGGUACCUGAGGAUGAUCAUGUAGAUUAUUCCAUGACUCUCAUAAAUGCCUCCGAAGAGGACAAUAAGGUGUCUGAGAUGCUACACUCAGAGGAUAAUAAGGUUAAUGAGACCGGCUGGGCCAAAGAGGAGCAGAGGAGGCAGAACGGAGGGCUCCACGAGGAGGAGGCUACACCCAAACAGCACAGGAAACCGGAGAGGAUCCUCAGUCGCAGCAGUGUGCGUUCCCCCGAGGUGUCCGCCGGUGACGACCAGGACGACGCUGCCCGCCUGGAGGCCGAGCUCAAGCUGGAGGAGCUGAAGCGCAGACGCGACGACGCGGAGAACGAGGAGUUCGAGAAGAUGAGGCAGAAGCAGCAAGAGGCCGAAGCCGAGCUGGAGGAGCUGAAGAGGAAGAGGGAGGAAAGGAGGAAGGUGUUGGAGGAGGAGGAGAGGCAGAAAAAGCAGGAGGAGGCGGAGAGAAAAGCCAGGGAGGAGGAGGAGAAGAGGAAGAUGAAGGAGGAGAUUGAAAGAAGGAGAGCGGAGGCAGCUGAGAAGAGGCAGAAGGUGGAGGACACCAUGGACGGGGAGGGAAGACCCUUCAAGUGUGUCAGUCCCAGAGGCUCCUCGUUGAAGAUUGGGGAAAGGGCAGAGUUUCUCAACAAGUCAGCACAGAAGAGCAGCACACUGAAGGCGGCUCAUUCUCCUGUGGUGUCCAAGAUCGACAACAGGCUGGAGCAGUACACCUCCGCUGCUCAGAGAGAGAACAAGGAAUCUCGAUCCCCUCGUUCUGGAGCAGCAGAUCUUCCCGUGGUUACAGACAGCAUCCGUAACAUCAAGACCAUGUGGGAGAGAGGCAACGUGUUCGGCACACCGGGAAGUGGCGGGAUCCCCUUUAAGGAAGCAGCUGUGAUGAAGACAGGCGUGGCGGGUCGCAUUAACGACUGGCUGAAUAAAACCCCGGAGAGCGGCAAAGCAUUGGGAGGAAGGCCAGCGGACCUGAAGCCUGUGGAUGUCACCAACAAGAGGAGUCUAUGGGAAAACAAAGGUGCCUCUCCGACCAAGAACUCUCAUAGCUAGUUGACUUCACCGUUUAAUCUGGAAUAAGCCUGGAGAGAUGGCAGGAGGGGGGGAGACCAAAUCAGUCGCCAACGGUAUGGGACACUAAUGUCUUGAAGGAGCCACGUAAACUGGGGACCACGACAAUCCAAGGCUCUUCCCUUGACUUUGUCUUAAGAACCAAAUAAUGAUUACACUCCCGAGAGGGAACCCAAGAAAACGGGAGGGACAGCAGAGACGCUGUCCUAGCACUGUACUGAAACAGCAUCAUAUUUUGUACGGUUGCCACGUAUAGUGCCUUUGCACCAUGAUUCUUGCUUUCUAAAAGAAACUAAAUGCUGUGAAAUUUGGACAUUUAUAAUUACUUUUACUAAUUACUUUUUACAUUACAAUCCUGCCAGAAAGAAAAAAACAAUUCAAUUUCGAUUUAUCUGUUGUACCAUAUGGCGUUCAAAGUUUCCACAUUCCAAAGAGAUGGAUGAAAUCAGUAGUCUCCCUCAUACAGCACAUGUUCCAUCUCUUUUCUUAUUUAUAUUUAAAGCAAAAGCUUCACACAUUGCUAUUUUAUUCAAUGUUCACCAGUUCAGGAUAGAAAUAUAAGCACUUCUAGAAUUUAGCUGAUUUCACUUUUAUUAUUGUCUUACCAAUAGUGCAGCAAUGGUCUGAGUAAUAUAUGUUAGCAGAUGUGAUGUUUUGAAUAUGACCUAUCAUACUGUAUCUUGUAUAACAUUUUUAUACUCGCUGCAAAAGAUAUUUUUGCUUUUUUGCAUCCAGAAACUCUUCAACAACAGGCAGUUGGUUUUGGUGGAUAUAAGAGUGUUGAAUAGUCAGAAGGCCAUUAUGACUUUUAUUAUUAUUAUCCUUUUGUGUUUUUUAUUUAUGUUUUUUUGUGUUUUGUCCUUUUCUAUUUCUAGCUCUUUGUAGAUUUUGUGCCUGUUUGAUCACUUUAAAAUCUUCAGACAUUCCUCUUAAAAAGCAGCUGGACAAGGUGCCUUCACUGUACGAUUUACAAUGUAGGAAAUCAGCUAACCAACCUGCGUUUUUUUUAGAAUCUACCUUAACUUCUACUAAUUACUAACUUCUUCAUUGCCUGUAUACCAACUCUCAAGCUCUGCUAUCAUUUUCUAAUUGAUGGGACUGAAAGUAAAACCAGGCUGCCGAAGCAUAUAGCAAGAUACUAGUAAAAUACAAGGAUAUUUACCACUAUGUAAGUCUUCUGGCUUUAUCAUUGCAAAAUAAUAACAUUUAUGACAGCUGAGGUACAUGAAAGCCUCAAAGCAACUCAAUAUAAUAGUACGAGUUUUGAUUUUAAUGUUUGUUUCACUGAUGCAGUCUUAAGUAGCGCAUUCCCUUUUGAUAGUUUUUUGUGCGAUACAAGCUUUGAUAAUUGUUGGUUUGCCAGGGCAUUAAAUUGAUCAAUAUUACUGCUCAAAAGUCUGACAAUCACAUUCCAUGGCUCCUGAAAAGAGCAGGGGAGCUUGACCAAAUAUUUCAAAUGUGAUUUGAUGUGACAUUUAUGUUUUUUUUAAUAGUGUUUUUUUAUUUUAUUUGUACGACCUUUUGUCACAAGUUCUUCCAUUUUUAACCAGACACUUGUUAGUGUGUUUUGCAUAGGCUUGGCCUUUCCAAACAGACCCAAUGUCAUACAAGUGGGCACAUCCAACUGGAUGAGUAUUUUGAACAUUGUACGCUUCACUCAACAACAGUAAUAAAGACAUUAAAGUAUUCCACA